rnacentral:tRNA from 1 species
AGUAAUUAAGUGUUUGGCUGCUAGCCAAAAGGUUGGUAGUUCGAAUCCACCAGUUGCUG